UACGUAUGGAGCAAGCGUUAUCCGGAUUUACUGGGUGUAAAGGGAGCGUAGGCGGCAUACCAAGCCUGAUGUGAAAACCCGGAGCCCAACCCCGGGAGUGCAUUGGGAACUGGCAAGCUAGAGUGUCGGAGAGGCAGGCGGAAUUCCUAGUGUAGCGGUGAAAUGCGUAGAUAUUAGGAGGAACACCAGUGGCGAAGGCGGCUUACUGGGCGGCAACUGACGCUGAGGCUCGAAAGCGUGGGGAGCAAACAGG
rnacentral:rRNA from 1 species